rnacentral:rRNA from 1 species
UACGUAGGGCGCAAGCGUUAUCCGGAAUUAUUGGGCGUAAAGAGCUCGUAGGCGGUUUGUCGCGUCUGCCGUGAAAGCUCGGGGCUCAACUCCGAGUCGGCCGUGCGAACUGGGCUCACUGGAGCAUAGUAGAGGCAGGUGGAAUUCCGGGUGUAGCGGUGGAAUGCGUAGAGAUCCGGAAGAACACCGGUGGCGAAGGCGGCCUGCUGGGCUAUGGCUGACACUGAGGCGCGACAGCGUGGGGAGCAAACAGG